GGGGGUGACAUGGCUUCGACGGGAGCAGUCGGUCAUAGGCUGCGUGCCGGCUUGAGGAACGCCGUAAAAACUCCUCAAAAAAAUAGACGCAAACAAUACAGAUUACAGACCGGCUUACGCAGUAGCUGCGUAAGUUAAGAAACUUACGGUCCCUCGCACCUAUCCCUGCCCUCUGGGAUAGGAUUUUGUGGGGUCACAUGCAAGAGGGCUUGGAUAAGCGGUUGCCUAGCCGCUUAUCGACACUUUGAGGCUGGACUACUGCAGGUUUCGGGCGCUGAGCCUGUAGUAGUCGAGAUCAAUCAGCGCUGCUACGCACGUAGAGGCCUAUGGUCGGUUGUUUCCGGACUCGGGUUCGAUUCCCGACACCUCCACCA
rnacentral:tmRNA from 1 species